AGGGGAAUAUGCGCAAGAAAAGCUUAUGAGAAAGUGGAUUCUGAGAUUUUUAAAGCCUUAUGGCAAUGGUCAAAACGCAGACACCCUAAUAAAGGCUUACGCUGGAUUAAGGAGAAAUACUUUAAAACAAAAGAAGCCAGAAGAUGGUGCUUUGCAGCGCUGACUAAGAAUAAAGGUACAGUUGAGUGGAAGGAACUCUUUCAAGCAACAAGCGUACCAAUUCGUCGCCACAAGAAAAUUCAAGCUGAGGCAAAUCCCUACGAUAAAGAAUGGUAUGCCUACUUUGAAAAACGUAGAUCAAAUAAUCCUUCUCUUUAUGAGGAUGAUAAGAUAUGAUUAAUGUUAAUCCUAGUAAGGAAUUUGAAAUGCCAGAAUAUUUGAAGGAAGCUGUUGCCGGUUCUCGAGAAAAGGACUUAAGAUGGCUCGAGCCGUAUGAAGGGAAACUUUCAAGUACGGUUCCUAGAGGAGAGUUUAGUGGAAAAUAUCUCAGUCCACUAAAC
rnacentral:autocatalytically_spliced_intron from 1 species